UGAAGUGGUGUGGUGUUACUGUGUAUGUGUUGAAGCUUUCUGAAAUUGCGUGGUGAUACUUUGUGUGUCAUGGCCAUCUCUACUGCGACAUAUGUUGUGACAUAUCCAGUGUAAUGCCUUGGCUGAAAAAGAAUUCUUGCUGCACAGUGGCUUAGACUCAGCAGUUUGUUCAUGUGUUUAAAUGACAAGCCUGCUGCUCUGCACUUAAUGCAGUGGUGCUGAGUGAGUAGGCACAGUGUUAUGUCAUGAUGCAGAAACAUGGCGAGGGCUGGCAUCAAAAUGGGGCUUGUUUUCCCCCUCUGUGUUACAAAGAACUCGGAGCUGCAGUUUGCCAUUGUUAAGGUAGGUUUAAUUGCCUGACACUGGCUGAUCCUUGGCUGCUGUUUGCCUGCCAUGAAGAUCUCUGUUGGAAAGCUUCACAUUGGGCAAACAUCAUAUUAUGAAGAUGACAUUUAUGCAUCAGCUUUGAUUUGAACAAAUAACUUUGACAUUCAGCAACAAAAGGUCUUUGCUCACUUAAGGUUGCGUGCAAUGUCCAGAAGAAUGAGAAUCUACAGGUCAUUUUGACAGAAUUCAGAACUUCAGUAAAGCCUCAAGCAGUUUUUUUUCUGAGCUUCCAAAUUGUGUGCCUCAGGAAAAAAUGAGCCUGGAAGCAAUUUAUGGAGCUUUUCUAGUCCAACUCUCUCGCCCAGAGCAGGUUAUCUAGAGCAGGUUGCUCAGAACUAUGCCUAGUUGUGUUUUGAAUAUCUGCAAGGCUGGAGACUCCACACCUCUCUGGGCAGCCUAGUCCAGUGUUUGAUCACCUACAAUGUAAAAUGUUUUGUCCUUUAUUUAAUGGAACUGACCUCGGGACCUUUUCUGCCUACAUGAUUUUCAACUGGUCAGCUCCCAGCACAUACUGGUGCACGGGGUUACCCCUCAGGUGCAGGAGAUUCCUGUUAACCCAAUACUCCAGCCUGUCCAGGUACCUCUCAUUGGUAACAAAACCAUCUGGAGUAUCCUGCCAAUUUUUUAUCAUCUGGAAAUGGAAUGGGCAGCCAGUAUUUGAGGUUUGGAAAAGCCACAUAUUUUACCAGUACAGCAUCUGAAACACCACUGUAGUAAGAGUUGAACUGUGGGGUUGAUAGAAUUAUCACAGUUUUUAUGAUCUCAGACCUGUCUUAAGAGCACUUGCAAGAAUCACUGACAUGGUCUUUUCAAAUUCAUCAUUUUCUCGAUUUUUUGGGAAUUUUUUAAAAUGUGGAAGCUUGUGAGCUUUUAAAAAGCCAUAAAAAGAAAUUCAAAUAAGCCUCUUCUACCAAGUGCAUAUAUAAAGUGAGCAAAUUUAAUUAACCUUAUGAUCUUCUCAAUAAAUGUCCCCCCAAAAUAACUGUAAUCUCUUAAUUAAACAGAUAUGGUUGAGUUAAUAACUUUAAAUAUUAUUAUAUCAUUAAAGAGAAAGGAAGGUGUGGUAGUUGAAGUGCUAAUUGAGGAGACUUAAAUUGAGUUCUGAACUUUACUGGGAUUUUUUCUGUGACUUGACACAGACCUGCUAACAGAGAACUGGCAGAGAAAGCCUGAAUCAUUUGCUCACACUUCACACAAUGAGAAGAACCAUAUGGUAGACAUCUUAUGUAGUAAGGGUUCCUAGAAUACUCUUUUAUGUGCUCCCACUCACUGCAAACCUCAAACUCCUUCCAAAACUGAUACCAAAAUCUCUGUCUACAAAAGGUAAUGUUGGUGGUUGUUUCUCCAACUCUGUUCUUGUUAGAUGUUAGUUUAAUAUGGCAUGUAUUUGACAGAGCUAGAUGCAAAAGUGUUGUUGCAGUCUUGCUAGAAUUUUGAGACACCAAAAAGCUUCUGUGCAUGUGCCUUUC